rnacentral:lncRNA from 1 species
GCACUAGGUGUGCGAACUUGAAAUGCAUGGCACUAAGUGUGCGAGUUUAAAGUACAUGGCACUAAGUGUGCGCGGUUGAUUAUUAAGCACUAUGUGUGCGAACCCACUAUAUAUUUUCUAUAAAUUAUUUACAUUAAGGGUGCGACUUUACCGAGUCGAUUUUGGACAGCGGAAAAGGUAAGUACCUUGAGUUCAUGGCUAAUAGGCGCUAUGUUUAUAUUUGGAGUUGAGCUUGGUAAGUUUUGAACCUAUGUGAUGAUUAUAGUUGAAGUCACGUACAUAAGGUUCAUCGUGGAAUAGGUGAAAGGUCGUUUAAUUGUAUGAUUGUAACGAAAAUAAAAUGAUGUAUGAAAGGUCAAUGUAGGACCUGGUAUGAGAUUGAACCGUAAGGUUUAAGGAACUAUGGUAUAGUUCGGUAUGGAUGGAGUACUUAGCCUCAUUUCAUUGUUUCCUGUUGUGAUAAUUUUAUUAAUGGAUGGUUGUGGAAUGCUUAUGGCUUACUGAGU